CAAAACAAUAUAAAAUGGUAUAUAUUGAGAAAUUACUUAUUCACCCCAUUCUCAUUCAUGUUAAUUCUCACAGUAUUAGUUUCAGGGAAAUCUGUCCUGCAUUUUUCUAUACAAACACAAGCAAAUAUACAUGUAUACCCUUAUUUUUGUACCCUUACAUAAAAAGUGAAUAACAUGACCCUCAUUGAAUAUGGAUAUGUAUAAUUAUUUAAUACAUAUUGAUGAAUUUUUCCAAUUUUAAGAAAAACUGAGUGUCUUCUUUGUGCCGAGCACUGUGCUGGCCAAUGUUGUAGGUAUUUAGUUUUGAUAACAGCUAUAUUCAAUAAUAGAAACAUCAGCCUACUUUAUAAAUGAUUGGCUUUAUAUAAGCUGAUGUUUUAUAUAUGACAUCUUCAAAGAAUCGUAUUUUAUUCAUCUUUGUGUUUUUGGUGCUGAGCAUAUAGUAGAUUCUUAAUAAAUACAGCUGUGUGAAUAAAUUACUUUUUUUAGUUGAGUUUUUGUCUUUGUUGUAAAUAAUGAGGACUUUGGUGCUAAAUAUUUUCAUCCUUCAUGUUCAUUGUAUCUAACUAUAGAAUGUUAUAUGAUAAAUAGGGGAAAGUUUAGCAGAUGAGCACGUUGUUGCAGUGAGGAGGUUAGUCACGCUUCUUUUGAAAUCUCAUGUUGUGACGUGGUAGAAAAAUCAAAUUCAGGGGAGUGUUACGGGCCUAGGUUCAGCUUCUUUCUGAGCUAUUUUGUGGGGCGAUGAAAUGAAAUGUUAAUGAAAUGUCAAGGGGAAGUACUCUAACACAGGCUUUCCUAGUGAGGAUGUGGUAAGUACUGGGUUCCUUUCUCCCUUAUUUCUUCAGAUUUGACUGUAGGCCCAGCAGACAAUUUGAGCGUAAACUCAGGAGCCUAUUCAUAUCUACCAAGUCCACGCUAUACAGCCUGCUGUCCAGGGUACACAACAGAGAUAAGAGUUUGCAGGUAAGGAUGAGACUUGAAUAAUUCUCCUGAACCUGGUUCUCAUUGGCUGAGGGACUGGGCAUGGUGCUUUACCUAUAAUCCUCACAAACCAUACUCAAUAAGUAUUAUUACCUCUCUUUUGAAAAUAAGGCAACUUAGACCUGGAAGAGUCAAAAUGCAUGUCUAAGGACAUGGAUAAAAGACAGGAUGAAAGUAGAUCUGUCUGGCUUCAAAGGCUUUUUUUUUUUCUCCAUUAUAUUAUGUUGCCUUUUGGGAUACUAAGAAAACAUCACCAGUUUUGAGGGAUUUAUUAUAAUAGAAUGUGACCUAUGCUUAAUUUUCUGGAAUUUUAACUUUUAUAUAUAUGAAAUUUUGAGUUCAUGAGGGGAGAAAAUUAUAAUUUAGGUAACUAUGAUAAAAUUACUUUAAAGCCUUUGAAUAUGGCUGGGCAAAAUAUAGUACAUAUUUUUUUGAAAACAAAUAUUGAUUAGGAACUGAAUCAGGGAUUUAGCAAAAUAUGAAUUACAUGUUAUAUUUUUAAAUAGAAAAGGAAUCUUAGAAUAUAGAAUCAAGCUCUUGGGGAUUAGUCUGACGUUAGUUUAUUAUUAUGUGGACUCCUGGAAGGUAGCAUCUUGUGCCUGAACACACUGAAGUUGGGGAUUUCUCUUGUGUACUGUGCUGUGUUUAUAUUAGGGUAAGCAUGGCAGUUUGGCACUUCGUUUUGCAAUGUACAGUCUUAAAUCUUGUUUCUAUUUCUGGCAUGCUUUUAAGUAUGACUCAUGUUUUCUUGAGGCUAUUCUAAAAAUACAGCUAGUUUCAAGCGUUAAUGUAAAAUAUACCACAGAUACCACAUAGCACUACAUGUUGCUUGCUUUCAGUAUUUUAAUGCAAUUUCUUGACAAAUUAAAUAUAGACAUGCUUUUUUGACAAAAUACACUAUACUAAAGCAUGAAUAAGUGAAAGUUGGAUUUUCUUUGAGAAGUAGAUCCUCUGAUAAAAUAAUAUUCAUUACUAAAUGAAUUGGAAUUUUAAUAAAAGGAAUAAAACAUAUCAUUGGUAGUACCAAAAAGAAGCAGAACUAAUGGGUGGAACAGCAAGUCCACUAAAUUUGAUGUAGCCCUGAGAGGUCCACACUUGUAGGGAAAUCAAGUCUUCCACCAGAAGCUGGACACCUGUUGAAAAGCUUUUGGAGGGGCUGUAGAACUUAAUGACUGAAAUACAAGUUUUGGACUUAAACAACUUAAGUGUAAAUCUUGGUUUAUGGACUUACCAACUAUAGACAAAUGACACUACAUUUCCAGUUUUGAUUUUCUUGUUGCUAAAUGGGAAUAAUGAAUAUUUAACAAACACAGCAUUUACUAUUAUUAGAUACUGUUCUAAGUGCUUAAUAUAAUCCUCAUAACAACUUUAUAAGUAAGUACAAUUAUAUCUAUACAGAUGAGGAAACUGAACAGACGUUAAACAACUUGAUUAAGGUUACAUAGCUAGUAAAUAGUCUGUCUUGAAUCUAUGUCCUGACACAAUAGGGUCUGCUGCUUUCUAGAAUUGUUGAGAUCCUAUAUGAAAAAUCAUUUGUAUGUUUACCUGGUACCUGGUAGGAAUGCAGUAAAUUAUAACCAUUAUUAGUAUUGUUAUUGGGGGAGAAUAAAAGCAGGGAAAAGAUAGUCUCUUUGUGAAGGUAUACCAUAGACUACAAGGCCAGCCAUGGGAUUCAGCAGUAGCUUAUAUGUAUUAAGAAAUUUAUGUAAAACUGGAAUGUGAUGAUGAGAGCCUUAGAUAUCCUGACAACUCCUGCAGGCUUAAUCUAAAGCUAGACCUUGUUCUCUAUUGAUUUCCUCCCUUAGAGUUUUAUCUUUCAGAUGGUAAAGGAAAUAGAGAGAAACUCUCUGGGCUUAAUUGUGACUAACUCAUUAGUGGUGUACAGGCAACAGGCAACUCAUGAGUGUAAAUAAUGUCUACAUAGUAUUUCUCAACUAUAGUGCCAUUGACAUACUGGACAGGAUGAGACUCUCUUGGACAUUGUAUUUACCAUCACUAAAUAUCAAUAGUGUACCAAAUUAUUUGUUAUCCUCCAAAUCUUUGCAACAGCCCAAAGUACUCACAGACAUUUUCCAAAUGCCUUCUGGCAGGCCUAGAAUGGUAGCAGUAUGGUCAUCAUUUGGGAACCACUGUUAAGUGGUAAAAAUAAAGGAAGGGAUUUCUGAGAAUAGUCAGAUGUGCCUUAAGGCAGUGUUCUCAGUACAUGUACUUUAUGUGGAAGUGGAGGACACUCCCAUGAGCAUAAACAGGAUUAUGCAUAAUUCCCAGGGCUCUAGCUUUAAAUAACUCCACGGUUUGCUCUCCUACUUAAGAAAAUACACUGGUAUACAAGUGGCUCUAUUGUUAUGUCUAUAACUUCAAUUCUGCCCAAGUUUGCUUAAAAAAAUGAAACAAUAAGUUAUUCCUAAACAUCAGCACUUUAUUGUACAAUUUAUGAGGGGCAGGUCUCACAUUUGAUUAGGAGCUACUACCUUAGAUUUAAAAAAAAUCUUGAAAAUGAAUAUGAUUCCAAGGUCAAAACAUUCAAAACGAACUGGAAGUAUAGAACUAAAUUGAGACUCCAUAAUUAUAAAUAGUUACCAAUUGUUGUAAAUAAUAAAAGGUGGGAGGAAGCUGAAGAAACCAACUUGGCUUUACCUUAUAGAACUUCACAAAUUUUGGAUUUUAAAUUAUCAGGUCCAGGUAAUGGAAGGUCAGGCACAUUGCCAAAGUUGAAUACAAAGUGACACAAAACUGUGAGAGUACUAUAGCGAAUGCCUGUGGCCAAAUUAAGCGGAGACUUAUGAAAAGGUAAAGAAAAAAACCCAAAGUGUUUAAGUUUGUAAUUAUAUGUUUGAUAUCAGAGUAGGAAGAGGUAAUAGAUUUGCAGCAUAGGGAACAUUGUGUAGCUUUACUAAUAAAGAAGUUAAGGUGACCACUGAGAUCGGGUCCUCCUGGCAAGUACAGAGCCUCGCCCUUGCUGCUCCGCUGCUCGUCCACACCCACCGCCAGCUCGCCAUGGAUGAUGGUAUCGCUGCACUUGUUGUGGACAAUGGCUCCGGCAUGUGCAAUGCUGGCUUCAUGGGUGAUGAUGCUCCCCAGGCAGUCUUCCUCUCCAACGUGGGGCGCCCCAGGCACCAGGGCGUGAUGAUGGGCCUGGGUCAGAUGGACUCCUAUAUGGAUUACGAGGCCCAGAGCAAGAGAGACAUCCUGACCCUGAAGUACCCCAUCGUGCAUGGCAUUGUCACCAACUGGGACGACAUGGAGAAGAUCUGGCACCACACUUUCUACAACUAGCUACAUGUGGCUCCUGAGGAGCACCCCGUGCUGCUUACCGAGGCCCCCCUGAACCCCAAGGCCAACCGUGAGAAGAUGACCCAGAUCAUGUUUGAGACCUUCAACACCCCAGCCAAGUAUGUGGCCAUCCAGGCCUUGCUUUCCUUGUACACCUCUGGCCGUACCAUUGGCAUCGUGAUGGACUCCAGUGAUGGGGUCACCCACACUGUGCCCAUCUACGAGGGGUAUGUCCUCCCCCUUGCCAUCCUGCAUCUGGACCUGGCUGUCCAGGACCUGACUGACUACCUCAUGAAGAUCCUCACUGAGUGCGGCUACAGUUUCACCACCAUGGCUGAGCAGGAAAUCGUGCGUGACAUCAAGGAGAAGCUGUGCUAUGUCACCCUGGACUUCGAGCAGGAGAUGGCCACAGAUGCCUCCAGCUCCUUUCUGGAGAAGAGCUUUGAGCUACCUGAUGGCCAGAUUAUCACCAUCAGCAACGAGUGGUUCCGCUGCCCUGAGGUGCUCUUUCAGCCUUCUUUCCUGGGCAUGGAAUCUUGUGGCAUCCAUGAAACUACCUUCAACUCCGUCAUGAAAUGUGAUGUGGACAUCCACAAAGACCUGUACACCAACACAGUGCUGUCUGGUGGUACCACCAUGUACCCUGGCAUCGCGGAAAGGAUGCAGAAGGAGAUCACUGCCCUGGCACCCAGCAUGAUGAAGAUCAAGAUCAUUGCUCCUCCUGAGUGCAAGUACCCCGUGUGGAUCAGUGGCUCCAUCCUGGCCUUGCUGUCCACCUUCCAGCAGAUGUGGAUCAACAAGCAGGAGUAUGAUGAGUCCAGCACCUCCAUAGUCCACCACAAAUGCUUUUAGGUGGACUGUGACUUUAGUUGUGUUACACCCUU